AUCGCUUCUCGGCCUUUUGGCUAAGAUCAAGUGUAAAGAGCUACAAAAUACUGGAUUGGCAUGGAGUUAAGUUUGAUUUUUAACCCUAAAGCAAUAAAUUUUAGGGCAUAUUUUAUUUUAUUAUUUAAAAUAAGAUUGACAUUUAAGUGUGUAAAAUGUCAA
rnacentral:snRNA from 1 species